rnacentral:rRNA from 1 species
GAUUGAACGCUGGCGGUAUGCUUAACACAUGCAAGUCGAACGGAAACGAUACUAGCUUGCUAGUAGGCGUCGAGUGGCGGACGGGUGAGUAACGCGUAGGAAUCUGCCUGAUAGUGGGGGAUAGCCCGAAGAAAUUCGGAUUAAUACCGCAUAAUCCAUUCGUAGUAAAGUGGGGGACUUUCGAGCCUCACGCUAUCAGAUGAGCCUGCGUAAGAUUAGCUUGUUGGUAGGGUAAAAGCCUACCAAGGCGACGAUCUUUAGCUGGUCUGAGAGGAUGAUCAGCCACAUCGGGACUGAGACACGGCCCGAACUCCUACGGGAGGCAGCAGUGGGGAAUAUUGGACAAUGGGGGCAACCCUGAUCCAGCAAUACCGCGUGUGUGAAGAAGGCCUGAGGGUUGUAAAGCACUUUCAAUUGUGAAGAAAAGUUAGCGGUUAAUAACCGUUAGCCUUGACGUUAACUUUAGAAGAAGCACCGGCUAACUCCGUGCCAGCAGCCGCGGUAAUACGGAGGGUGCAAGCGUUAAUCGGAAUUACUGGGCGUAAAGCGUGCGUAGGCGGUUUAUUAAGUCAGAUGUGAAAGCCCCGGGCUUAACCUGGGAACUGCAUUUGAAACUGGUCAACUAGAGUAUGGUAGAGGAAAGUGGAAUUUCUGGUGUAGCGGUGAAAUGCGUAGAUAUCAGAAGGAACAUCAAUGGCGAAGGCAGCUUUCUGGACCAAUACUGACGCUGAGGUACGAAAGCGUGGGUAGCAAACAGGAUUAGAUACCCUGGUAGUCCACGCCGUAAACGAUGAUAACUAGCCGUUGGGGGGAUUUACCCUUUAGUGGCGAAGCUAACGCGUUAAGUUAUCCGCCUGGGGAGUACGGCCGCAAGGUUAAAACUCAAAGGAAUUGACGGGGACCCGCACAAGCGGUGGAGCAUGUGGUUUAAUUCGAUGCAACGCGAAGAACCUUACCUGGUCUUGACAUCCUGCGAACUUUCUAGAAAUAGAUUGGUGCCUUCGGGAACGCAGUGACAGGUGCUGCAUGGCUGUCGUCAGCUCGUGUCGUGAGAUGUUGGGUUAAGUCCCGUAACGAGCGCAACCCCUAUCCUUAUUUGCCAGCACAUCAUGGUGGGAACUAUAAGGAGACUGCCGGUGAUAAACCGGAGGAAGGCGGGGACGACGUCAAGUCAUCAUGGCCCUUACGACCAGGGCUACACACGUGCUACAAUGGGAAGGACAAAGAGCCGCGAAGCCGCGAGGUGUAGCUAAUCUCAUAAACCUUUUCGUAGUCCGGAUUGGAGUCUGCAACUCGACUCCAUGAAGUCGGAAUCGCUAGUAAUCGUAGAUCAGAAUGCUACGGUGAAUACGUUCCCGGGUCUUGUACACACCGC